rnacentral:rRNA from 1 species
GAUGAACGCUGGCGGUAUGCUUAACACAUGCAAGUCGAACGGACUCUUCGGAGUUAGUGGCGGACGGGUGAGUAACGCGUGAGAAUCUGGCUUUGGGUUCGGGACAACCACUGGAAACGGUGGCUAAUACCGGAUGUGCCGAGAGGUAAAAGAGAAAUUGCCUGAAGAUGAGCUCGCGUCUGAUUAGCUAGUUGGUGAGGUAAAGGCUCACCAAGGCAGCGAUCAGUAGCUGGUCUGAGGGGAUGACCAGCCACACUGGGACUGAGACACGGCCCAGACUCCUACGGGAGGCAGCAGUGGGGAAUUAUCCGCAAUGGGCGAAAGCCUGACGGAGCAAUACCGCGUGAGGGAAGAAGGCUCUUGGGUUGUAAACCUCUUUUCUUAGGGAAGAACAAAAUGACGGUACCUAAGGAAUCAGCAUCGGCUAACUCCGUG